GGAAGUGUAGCUCAGCGGUAGAGCAAGUGCUUGGCAUGCACAAGGACCUGAGUUUGUUCCUUAGUAUCACCA
rnacentral:tRNA from 1 species